rnacentral:rRNA from 1 species
AACCAAGAAAUUAAGUCAUACUUUUCGGUAAAAAGAUAGUUAAAUAACAUUAUACUUAUAAGUUUUUAAAGAAUUUAUGAAAAAGUAAAAUUUAAACAUAAAUUUUAAGAUUAAUUAUAACUUAAUAUAUUGAAUCUAUAAAAAUCUUGAGGGAAACUGGGACUAGAUACCCCAUUAUUCUUGAUUGUAAAAAGUAAUUUACCAGAGUACUACGAAUAAUAUAAAAUUUAAAACUCAAAGGGCUUGGCGGUGUCUUAGACCACUUAGGGGAACCUGUCUCAUAAUCGAUAAUCCACGUUAUACCUAACCUUUUUUUGUAUUCAGCUUGUAUACCGUUGUCGUCAGGUAACUUUUAAAAAACUAUAAGUUAGCUAUUAAUUUUUUAAGUUAAAACGUCAGAUCAAGGUGCAGCCUAUAAAAAGGAGAGGAUGGGUUACAAUUAAUAUUUAUAACUACGGAUAGUUUACUAGAAUAUAGUAAUUUGAAGGAGGACUUAAAAGUAAAUUGAACUAUAAAAAUAUUUUGAAUAAGGCUCUGAGAUGUGC